rnacentral:rRNA from 2 species
UUCGCAAUGCCCGAAAGGGUGACGAUGCGACGCCGCGUGAGCGAAGAAGGCCCUAGGGUUGUAAAGCUCUGUCGAGGGUUAUGAAAUAUAGAUGGGUUAAUACCCCAUUUAUUUGACAAAAGCCCAAAAGGAAGCCACGGCUAACUCUGUGCCAGCAGCCGCGGUAAUACAGAGGUGGCGAGCGUUGUUCGGUAUUAUUGGGCGUAAAGAGCACGUAGGUGGUUUUGUAAGUCAGGUGUGAAAGCCUUCUGUUCAAAGGAAGAACGGCAUCUGAAACUGCAGAUCUUGAGUGUAGGAGGGGAGAGUGGAACUUCUGGUGGAGCGGUGAAAUGCGUAGAUAUCAGAAGGAACGUCGGCGGCGAAAGCGACUCUCUGGCCUAUUACUGACACUGAGUGUGCGAAAGUUAGGGGAGCAAACGGGAUUAGAUACCCCGGUAGUCCUAACCGUAAACGAUGGGCACUAAGUAGAGGGGUUUU